rnacentral:lncRNA from 1 species
GCGUUGCGGUCACUUGCUCCGGUGGCCACAGGAAGCUCUCACAUGCGGACAGCGGCAGACAUGAGAAAAGGCCAGAGGCAGCAGCCAGCCCAUCUCAGGCCCGUCACCGUGGAAGCAACGGCCGGAGGAGCCACAGAAAGCAGAACUCCCAAAGCUGCCCACAUACUUCGGGUCUUGGCUUGGAUCUCCUGGAGACAGGCCCUGCGAAGGAGCUGGGCUGGGAGCAGGUUUAUCAGGGCGUGAUCUUAGGAGGCAGCUGUAGGAGGUGACGAAGGCAGGGUGUGCAGAGUGCAGCUGACCCGACCGGCCCGGCCGACCCACAGGACGCCCUGGGCUGAGACGCUGUCAGCACUGCCCCAGGCUGAGACCACUUUGGGAGGGGUGUAACCUUGUGCAGGGGGGCUCUCUGCAGCAGAGGGCAGUCCCAGGGGAGGACACGGCUGGGGACACAUGCAGUGACGUCCCAGCGUUCGCAGCAGUGGGGAGGGUCGGGGGGGCAUCCAGUGCCCACGACACUCAUGAACACAAAAACCAACCAGAGAAAACCCAGUCUCCAGCAAAGAGCCGAGUGCUGAGUGUGCAGCGUUCUCCGCCUGUCUCUCCCCCUUUCCCACCUCUAUCCCAGGCAGGCCCUCCCUGGCCUUGCCACCAUGCUGGACCACCGUGUGGACCCUGUGCUCACCCAGGCCUCACCUUUCAGCCCCCUAAGCUGGGCCCAAAGCAGCAGACUGUGUUGUGGAGGGUGCUGUGGCCCACGGCCCCCACCCCCUGCUAGGCAGAGUUGCCGGGUAAGACAGGAUAACCAAUUAAAUUAGAACGUCAGAGAAACACA